rnacentral:rRNA from 1 species
AAUAAGCAAAAUAAGGGCGUAUGGGGGAUGCCUAGGCUCUCAGAGGCGAAGAAGGACGUGAUAAGCUGCGAAAAGCUACGGGGAUCGGCACACACGAUUUGAUCCGUAGAUAUCCGAAUGGGGCAACCCACUAUGUUGAAGACAUAGUACACCGAUAGGUGGGCAAACCCGCUGAACUGAAACAUCUAAGUAGGCGGAGGA